CCCAGACUCCUACGGGAGGCAGCAGUGGGGAAUAUUGCACAAUGGGGGAAACCCUGAUGCAGCGACGCCGCGUGAGUGAAGAAGUAAUUCGUUAUGUAAAGUUCUAUCAGCAGGGAAGAAAAUGACGGUACCUGAGUAAGAAGCUCCGGCUAACUACGUGCCAGCAGCCGCGGUAAUACUUAGGGAGCAAGCGUUGUCCGGAAUUACUGGGUGUAAAGGGAGCGUAGGCGGGGAUGCAAGUUGGGUGUCAAAACUAUCGGCUCAACCGAUAGUCGCACUCAAAACUGCAGCUCUUGAGUGAAGUAGAGGCAGGCGGAAUUCCUAGUGUAGCGGCGAAAUGCGUAGAUAUUAGGAGGAACACCAGUGGCGAAGGCGACCUGCUGGGCUUUUACUGACGCUGAGGCUCGAAAGUGUGGGGAGCAAACAGGAUUAGAUACCCUAGUA
rnacentral:rRNA from 1 species